CUGUUCUUGUCGGGGUGCCCAGAAUCGUGGGCUGAGAUCGGACAGUUCCGGAUCCCGUUGAACCUGAUCAGGUUAGCGCCUGCGUAGGGAACAAGAUGUGUCUGCCU
rnacentral:ncRNA from 2 species